AUUGAACGCUGGCGGCAGGCUUAACACAUGCAAGUCGAGCGGGGUGAUGGUGCUUGCACUAUCACUUAGCGGCGGACGGGUGAGUAAUGCUUAGGAAUCUGCCUAUUAGUGGGGGACAACAUCUCGAAAGGGAUGCUAAUACCGCAUACGUUCUACGGGAGAAAGCAGGGGAUCACUUGUGACCUUGCGCUAAUAGAUGAGCUGAAGUCGGAUUAGCUAGUUGGUGGGGUAAAGGCCUACCAAGGCGACGAUCUGUAGCGGGUCUGAGAGGAUGAUCCGCCACACUGGGAAUGAGACACGGCCCAGACUCCUACGGGAGGCAGCAGUGGGGAAUAUUGGACAAUGGGGGGAACCCUGAUCCAGCCAUGCCGCGUGUGUGAAGAAGGCCUUAUGGUUGUAAAGCACUUUAAGCGAGGAGGAGGCUCUUUUGGUUAAUACCCAAGAUGAGUGGACGUUACUCGCAGAAUAAGCACCGGCUAACUCUGUGCCAGCAGCCGCCGUAA
rnacentral:rRNA from 1 species